GACACAAGAGGUGAGAGGGAGAUGAGAGGGAGAGAUGAGAGGGAGAGGUGAGAGGGAGAUGAGAGGGAGAGAGAGGGAGAGUGAGAGGAACAGGAAGUAAUGUAGAGAGAGGAGAACAUGAGGUAAUGGAGAGAGAGGGGAACAUGAGGUAAUGGAGAGAGAGGGGAACAUGAGGUAAUGGAGAGAGAGGGGAACAUGAGGUAAUGGAGAGAGAGGGGAACAGGAGGUAAUGGAGAGAGAGGGGAACAGGAGGUAAUGGAGAGAGAGGGGAACAGGAGGUAAUGGAGAGAGAGGGGAACAGGAGGUAAUGGAGAGAGAGGGGAACAUGAGGUAAUGGAGAGAGAGGGGAACAGGAGGUAAUGGAGAGAGAGGGGAACAUGAGGUAAUGGAGAGAGAGGGGAACAGGAGGUAAUGGAGAGAGAGGGGAACAGGAGGUAAUGGAGAGAGAGAGGAACAGGAGGUAAUGGAGAGAGAGGGGAACAGGAGGUAAUGGAGAGAGAGGGGAACAGGAGGUAAUGGAGAGAGAGGGGAACAGGAGGUAAUGGAGAGAGAGGGGAACAGGAGGUAAUGGAGAGAGAGAGGAACAGGAGGUAAUGGAGAGAGAGGGGAACAGGAGGUAAUGGAGAGAGAGAGGAACAGGAGGUAAUGGAGAGAGAGGGGAACAGGAGGUAAUGGAGAGAGAGGGGAACAGGAGGUAAUGGAGAGAGAGAGGAACAGGAGGUAAUGGAGAGAGAGGGGAACAGGAGGUAAUGGAGAGAGAGAGGAACAGGAGGUAAUGGAGAGAGAGGGGAACAGGAGGUAAUGGAGAGAGAGAGGAACAUGAGGUAAUGGAGAGUAGUAGCAGAUAGUAUGUAUCCCAAAUCUCUCCUUUCUCCCGAAGUGUGCACUUGUUCACUUCCCUUCACAAAAGGAAAUAACAGUUAUAUGGA